CAGUAGCCGCGGGAAUACGUAGGGCGCAAGCGUUGUCCGGAAUUAUUGGGCGUAAAGAGCUCGUAGGCGGUCUGUCGCGUCUGGUGUGAAAUCCCGAGGCUCAACCUCGGGCUUGCAUCGGGUACGGGCAGACUAGAGUGCGGUAGGGGAGACUGGAAUUCCUGGUGUAGCGGUGGAAUGCGCAGAUAUCAGGAGGAAUACCGAUGGCGAAGGCAGGUCUCUGGGCCGCAACUGACGCUGAGGAGCGAAAGCAUGGGGAGCGAACAGGAUUAGAUACCCCAGUAGUCCCUGUCUCUUAUAA
rnacentral:rRNA from 1 species